UGGUGUAGCGGUGGAAUGCGCAGAUAUCAGGAGGAACACCAAUAGCGAAGGCAGCUCGCUGGGACGUUACUGACACUAAGGCGCGAAAGCGUGGGGAGCGAACAGGAUUAGAUACCCUGGUAGUCCACGCCGUAAACGAUGGGUACUAGGUGUGGGAGGUGUCGACUCCUCCCGUGCCGUCGCUAACGCACUAAGUACCCCGCCUGGGGAGUACGGCCGCAAGGCUAAAACUCAAAGGAAUUGACGGGGGCCCGCACAAGCAGCGGAGCAUGUGGUUUAAUUCGACGCAACGCGAAGAACCUUACCUGGGCUUGACAUGUCAGUGACCGCCGUGGAAACACGGUUUUCCUUCGGGACACUGUCACAGGUGGUGCAUGGCUGUCGUCAGCUCGUGUCGUGAGAUGUUGGGUUAAGUCCCGCAACGAGCGCAACCCCCGUCCUAUGUUGCCAGCAUUAAGUUGGGGACUCAUAGGAGACUGCCGGUGACAAACCGGAGGAAGGUGGGGAUGACGUCAAGUCAUCAUGCCCCUUAUGUCCAGGGCUACACACGUGCUACAUUGGCGCAUACAAAGGGCAGCAAUACCGUGAGGUGGAGCAAAUCCCAUAAAGUGCGCCUCGGUUCGGAUUGGAGGCUGAAACUCGCCUCCAUGAAGGUGGAGUUGCUAGUAAUCGCAGAUCAGCAAUGCUGCGGUGAAUACGUUCCCGGGCCUUGUACACACCGCCCGUCACACCACGAAAGCGAGCAACACCCGAAGCCGGUGGCCUAACCGCAAGGGGGGAGCCGUCGAAGGUGGGGCCCGUGAUUGGGGUGAAGUCGUAACAAGGUAGCCG
rnacentral:rRNA from 1 species